CAGAGGUCCCAAGCGUUGUUCGGAUUCACUGGGCGUAAAGGGUGCGUAGGUGGUGAGGUAAGUCGGAUGUGAAAUCUCCGAGCUCAACUCGGAAAUGGCAUUGGAAACUACCUUGCUCGAGGGUUGGAGGGGGGACUGGAAUACUUGGUGUAGCAGUGAAAUGCGUAGAUAUCAAGUGGAACACCAGUGGCGAAGGCGAGUCCCUGGACAACUCCUGACACUGAGGCACGAAAGCUAGGGGAGCAAACAGGAUUAGAUACCCUGGUAGUCCUAGCCGUAAACGGUGCACGUUUGCUGUAAAAGGAAUCGACCCCUUUUGUGGCGUAGCCAACGCGUUAAACGUGCCGCCUGGGAAGUGCGGUCGCAAGAUUA
rnacentral:rRNA from 1 species